rnacentral:rRNA from 1 species
UACGAAGGGGGCUAGCGUUGUUCGGAAUUACUGGGCGUAAAGGGCGCGUAGGCUGUGCUGUAAGUCAGGCGUGAAAGGCCCGGGCUCAACCUGGGAACUGCGCUUGAUACUGCGGCGCUUGAAGACGGGAGAGGAUGGCGGAAUUCCCAGUGUAGAGGUGAAAUGCGUAGAUAUCUGGAGGAACACCGGUGGCGAAGGCGGCAUCCUGGACCAACACUGACACUGAGGAGCGAAAGCGUGGGGAGCGAACAGG